AGGAGAGUUUGAUCCUGGCUCAGGAUGAACGCUAGCGGCAGGCUUAACACAUGCAAGUCGAGGGGCAGCGGGUGUAGCAAUACAUGCCGGCGACCGGCGCAAGGGUGCGUAACGCGUGAGCAAUCUGCCCGUAUCAGGGGGAUAAGCGAUGGAAACGUCGUCUAAUACCGCAUAACACCAUUGAUGGCAUCAUCGGUGGUUGAAAGCUUCGGUGGAUACGGAUGAGCUCGCGAGACAUUAGUUAGUUGGCGGGGUAACGGCCCACCAAGACCGCGAUGUCUAGGGGAACUGAGAGGUUGGUCCCCCACACUGGAACUGAGACACGGUCCAGACUCCUACGGGAGGCAGCAGUGAGGAAUAUUGGACAAUGGCCGGAAGGCUGAUCUAGCCAUGCCGCGUGAAGGAAUAAGGUCCUAUGGAUUGUAAACUUCUUUUGUACGAGAGCAAUAAGUGUCACGUGUGACACGAUGAGAGUAUCGUACGAAUAAGCAUCGGCUAACUCCGUGCCAGCAGCCGCGGUAAUACGGAGGAUGCGAGCGUUAUCCGGAUUUAUUGGGUUUAAAGGGUGCGUAGGCGGGAUUUUAAGUCAGCGGUGAAACGCAAGGGCUCAACCCUUGACCUGCCGUUGAAACUGGAGUUCUUGAAUGCGGAUGCUGUGGGAGGAAUGUGUGGUGUAGCGGUGAAAUGCAUAGAUAUCACACAGAACACCGAUUGCGAAGGCAUCUCACAAAUCCGUGAUUGACGCUGAGGCACGAAAGUGUGGGGAUCAAACAGGAUUAGAUACCCUGGUAGUCCCCU
rnacentral:rRNA from 1 species